rnacentral:lncRNA from 1 species
AAAUUUCUAACAUAGAUAAAAUAUCACAAUUUUUAUUAAAAAGAUUAUUUUUCAAGAUAAUGAGGUCGUGUGCGCAUAAAAUUUAUCGUACCUAAAAUUCAUGAUAAUAAGCAGAAAUAAUUAUUUCAUUUUAUUUUUAAAAAGAAUGGAUUAUUUUUCGAGACAAUGAGGUCACUUACACAUAAAACUGAUAAAAUAAAGAUCCUAGACGGAAAUAUCACUAUUUAUUAAAAAUAGACUAUUUUUCAGGAAGACGAUGUCACUUACUCACAAAUAUUUGAGAGGGAGCUUCCGAUAAAAAUUCGGCUCGAGAGAGGAGUUCACUGUGUUUCGACCAAAGAAAAAAUCUCAAAAUUUUCUAAGAUAGGAGUCUUCACCUCUCUGAAUUUAAAUUCUACUAACAUAUUAUUUUAUUCUUUUAUUACGUUACAGGUGUGAGCGUUAGUUUACGCUUUAAACACCUCAAGCUUUUAUUAUGUUACAGGUGUGAGCGUUAGUUUACGCUUUAAACACCUCAAGCUUUUAUUACGUUACAGGUGUGAGCGUUAGUUUAUGCUUUAAACACCUAAAGCCCACGUACGUGGCAAGAGCAAGGAAACACAAAGCUUUUAAACGAAAAGCUUUGAAAAGUAGCGAUGGUCCCUAAACACCAUCAUGUUCAAACGAAUCAUCAUGUAUUAAAAGUUUAUUUUCUUCUUUUUUUUUUAAAGUUUAAGAUUGUUACAUAAACCCUAAAUCAAUCGCUUCUACUCAAGUAUGAAACCUUAAAUCACAAUCUUAUACAAUGUUAACUUCUAAAAAUCGAACAAGAAAUUCGAUUAUACAUACCUUCACUCUAAAUUAUAAAUCCAUCAAAUGCCUUCAAAAUGCUUCAAAUGCAGUUAUGAUCCGUCAAAAUACUUGUAUCCAAAUCUAAAUAUGUUGUUUUGAUUGUCAGAAAGGUAAGAGGCAGUCAGAAAUGGGGGAAUGAGAAAUACCUGGACUAGUGAAGCAAAAGAAACUGAUCCAGGAAUUUUAAACGAGCUUCGCAAUAUUUCGGUUAUUGAACAACCGAAAAUUGUAAAUUCGGUAGUUCAACAAUCGAAAAUACAAUUUUCGGGUGUUGAAAAACCGAAUUCAAAUAUAUUUCAGUACAACUAUAGCGGGAAGUUUAAACGAGCUAAUCUCUUUUCCGGUUGUUGAACAAUCAAAACAUCCUUGAAUUCGGUUGUUAAAUAACCAAAAAACCCUUGAAUUCAGUUAUUCAACAACCAAAAAAGGGUAAGGUCGUUUUUUUUAAAAAAAUAUGUUUUGAGAUGAAAAAACGGACAUUGAUGUAAUAACGGAAACUAUUUAGUUUAAUCGUAAUAACGGAAACUAUAAUGAAUCUAUAUGUAAUUUUCUCUAAAAUUUAUCUUACCCGAUUUACUCAUGCAGGAGUAUAAUGUCUCUUGCUUUUCAUUUAUGUUGGUAUUUGACUUGGUAUCGAUAAUUCUUUCGAUUCUUAUUCUUCGAGAUAAGUGCAUUAUCUUUUCUUCAAUUGGUUUAAUUGUUAAGUCUUUUAAAUUAGCUUCUAAAAGUAAUGUGCACUUUAAAAACUCAUAAAAAAAACAGUUGUUUCGAUAUUAGAAAAUUUAUCUCGACUUUGAGUUGUAUAAAUAAAAUAAAAUAAAUUCAACUCCUUUCAAGUAAUGUAUUUUAUAAUAUAUUAUCUUACUAUUUAUUUUCAAGAUUUUUAAGUGGUUAAAAAUCUACAUUAUUUUUGAA